CCGGCGACCGGCGCACGGGUGAGUAACACGUAUGCGACCUGCCCCCCGCAGGGGGAUAACCGGGAGAAAUCCCGACUAAUACCGCGUAACGCCGCGGACCUGCAUGGGUCUGCGGCCAAAGGAAGCGAUUCCGGCGGGGGAUGGGCAUGCGGCGCAUUAGCUAAUCGGCGGGGUAACGGCCCACCGAGGCGACGAUGCGUAGGGGUUCUGAGAGGAAGGUCCCCCACACUGGUACUGAGACACGGACCAGACUCCUACGGAAGGCAGCAG
rnacentral:rRNA from 1 species